rnacentral:rRNA from 1 species
ACGUACACUCCUACGGGAGGCAGCAGUGGGGAAUAUUGCACAAUGGGCGCAAGCCUGAUGCAGCCAUGCCGCGUGUAUGAAGAAGGCCUUCGGGUUGUAAAGUACUUUCAGCGGGGAGGAAGGCGAUAAGGUUAAUAACCUUGUCGAUUGACGUUACCCGCAGAAGAAGCACCGGCUAACUCCGUGCCAGCAGCCGCGGUAAUACGGAGGGUGCAAGCGUUAAUCGGAAUUACUGGGCGUAAAGCGCACGCAGGCGGUCUGUCAAGUCGGAUGUGAAAUCCCCGGGCUCAACCUGGGAACUGCAUUCGAAACUGGCAGGCUAGAGUCUUGUAGAGGGGGGUAGAAUUUCAGGUGUAGCGGUGAAAUGCGUAGAGAUCUGGAGGAAUACCGGUGGCGAAGGCGGCCCCCUGGACAAAGACUGACGCUCAGGUGCGAAAGCGUGGGGAGCAAACAGGAUUAGAAACCCCUGUAGUCCCAUGA